rnacentral:misc_RNA from 1 species
GAUGAAGAACGUAGCGAAAUGCGAUAAGUAAUGCGAAUUGCAGAAUUCCAGUGAGUCAUCGAAUCUUUGAACGUACAUUGCGCCCUUUGGUAUUCCGAAGGGCAUGCCUGUUCGAGCGUCAUUAUCACCCCUCAAGCCCUCGGCUUGGUGUUGGACGGUUUGGUGGAGGCCCCCUCGGGGGCUCCUGCCCCUCCCAAAGACAAUGACGGCGGCCUCGUUGGACCCCCGGUACACUGAGUUCUUCACGGGACACGUAUCGGACACACGGGUUUACGGGACACGGUCUGCCUCCCCUCAAGGGAGAAUCUUUCUAAGGUUGACCUCGGAUCAGGUAGGGAUACCCGCUGAACUUAAGCAUAUCAAUAAGCGGAGGA